UCGAACUGUAGAGUUUGAUCCUGGCUCAGAUUGAACGCUGGCGGCAUGCCUUACACAUGCAAGUCGAACGGUAACAGGUCUUCGGAUGCUGACGAGUGGCGAACGGGUGAGUAAUACAUCGGAACGUGCCCGAUCGUGGGGGAUAACGAGGCGAAAGCUUUGCUAAUACCGCAUACGAUCUACGGAUGAAAGCGGGGGAUCUUAGGACCUCGCGCGGACGGAGCGG
rnacentral:rRNA from 1 species